UAAUCCAUCCUCUGUAAAUCUUUCUUUGGGGUUUCAUGGAGUAUUUCAACAUUCUAACCCGUAGAGAGCUAAUUGGACAUUUUAACUCGAAUAUCAACCGAAGCGGUUUCGAAUGCAAGUUUUUUUUUGAAGGGCGAAAAAUAAAUAAAUCUUGCAGUCGUCAACCGCUUCAGUUGGUUCUUCUGGGUGUUGGUUACUCAAGAUUGCUAAUCAUAUUCUGCUGAUGAUUCUGGUAAGCGGAGUUCUCUGGGUUUAACUAAGUCAGCUGCUGUCACAAUUUUAGAUGUAUCAACUUAACCUCUGCGUUUAGGUAUACUAGAUUUCUUAGUUCGGUUUGAUCUGCUUAAAAAAUACACGAGGUUCCACAGUUGUAUUUGCAUAUAAAAAUCUUCCUGAAAUAAUGCUAGCAUUUUUGGCAAUGGGGUCACAAUUACAAGCAUAGUUCUCGGUUCAAAUAAUGGUAUAGUGGUGUUUGAUGAAUAAAUGCAAAGUAAUUGUGGAGAGGCCUCCCUCAUAGAGAUGGGAGAAACAGGCUUAAAUUCUUCUACAGCAUUGAUUGUCCAAAAUAUGUGAAUCCACUAUGUUAUUAUUAAUAUCAGGAUUCAUGUUUCAUGUUCCUCAAUGAUGGCUGAAACCAGCCGGAAAUUUACUGUUAGUUUUUGAGUUUUGAGAUGGUGCUUCAAAUUCGCAUCUUUUUCCAGGAGAGCUAUUGUAAACGGGUCGGCGCAAAGUUUACUAUCUUUGGAAAGGAUUUUCUGAGCUUUAAAGGAGUUACCAUGCUCACAAAUCGUACACUGCAUUUGAAAAGUGCUGCAUUUUACAUUUAUAUCGUUUGCAUAAAGUACAUGAGAACUUAUUCUCAGAUCAAAGAAACUUAAACACCUAUUAGGCCUACAGAGUUGUGUACCAGGAUUAAUUAGGCACAAACACAUGCCUCUUCAUGACUAGGCACAUAGAUUUGUAUCUCAGAGGUGCAUUAAACAGAAAUUAUGCCUAGUACAAACACAUGCCUCUUCAUGCUCACCACCGUAAUAUGCUUGCGCUUUUGGUCACCACAAUAUAGUUAAACUUCUUCUGGAUCACAAUGUCUAUGUGAGUGGCAUUUACUUUUCUUCUUGAUUAGGUGUGCCUCUCUGCACUGCAGAUAAUAGUCUCUAAAUGGUAACCUAAAUCUUAUCUUUAUUUAGGGCUAUUGAUCUUGACAUGCAUACUUACCUUCCUAUCAUUGUUGGUUUUUGUUUCUUCCUAAUGUUGCAAUGUUAGCUUGCUGCUUUUCAGCUUUGUUAAUGUCAAAAUGCUCGUCUGGUUACACCUAAAGUGUAAAAUACACUUUCUCAUCUCUUGCAUAGAAUGAGAAAGAAUCAUCAAUCAUUUUCAAUUCAAAAAUAUACUCGCUGAUGGCCUCAUAUACUCGCAUAUGUGCAGCUAUACUCAUCUAUUAUUUGUAUGCACUCCAAAUUUCCAGCGUUUGAGGUUUUUCUACUCAUCAUAACUAUUUGCACAAAAAGGAACAUAAAGCUGCUGCACGGAUACAUAUAAUGUUAUAUGUUGUGAUCAUGGUACUUUUUCUUUGGGGAAACUCUAUAGUUACAACUAGUUUGCUGAACUAUCAACUAUAUCCACCCAUUGUCUCUUUCCUGCUCCAAUCAUGCUCCAUGUUCUCUUUCUUUUAACUAUUGAGAGUAUUUGAACGUAUUGCUAGACUUCGUUUUCAUUUAUGAGUUGAUGUACUAGUGUUUCAUGUGGAUGCUGUGAAAUGGUUUCCCACUAUUAAUAUGUCUGCUAUUUUUAUUUCUCAAUCACGCUGACCUACUGGAGGAUGUAUUAACUUUCCAGCACAAGCAACGGUUAAUAAUAGCCAUUCGAUGUUUGGAGGCAGAAACUGGCCAAAAGAGAGUCUCAAAGACUUAAGAAGGGGCCUAGUAGUGGACCCUAUUGCUCAUGUUAUGUGAUUUUUGCAUAUUUAUUCUCAGGACAAUGGAUUUAUCUCUACAUUUAGGAAGCAAAUGAAGCUGGUGCUUUAAGCUCGGCAAAGAAUAGACUUGAGAUACAGUUUGAGAAUCUUGCAUGCUGGUUGCAGCUAGAGAAAAGAUAGUGUCUCAUGACGAAGAGAUGCAAUUGGAAAUACCAAAGCUGCAGAGAACUGUGGAGUAACUGAACUUGGAUUGAUACACAGCCAAGUCAACAAUACAGUGUUGCUUAAAAGGUCAGAUGGAUGUAUGGUUUUUUUCCAUUCAUAAAGGUGAACUAGAAUUUUGGUUUUCUCGUCUUCGACGGUGGGUGGGAAGGUUAGAAUCCGACAAUUUGUGAUCUCAUUGAACCAAGCUUAGACGCAGCCAAGUCAACACUUGUUUUUUUCUUUUUGCAAUCACAAUUUGAAGGUGAAAUUUGUAAGUUGACGACGGGUUUUCAAUUCAAUCAACCAGCUUUCUACGUAUUUGUAUUUAGUUUUUCUAUUGCAAGUGCUAAAAUAAACUUUAGGAGUGCUGUCAUAUAUAAGAACUUAAGAUACAUAUGUAAUACAAGCGAAA